GUGUCAGUAGUUCAGUGGUGCAGCAUCCGCCUCGUAUGCGGGAAGACCCGGGUUCGAUUCCCGGCUGCUUCC
rnacentral:tRNA from 1 species